GGCCAGACUCCUACGGGAGGCAGCAGUGGGGAAUAUUGCACAAUGGGGGAAACCCUGAUGCAGCAACGCCGCGUGAGUGAAGAAGUCAUUCGUGAUGUAAAGCUCUAUCAGCAGGGAAGAAAAUGACGGUACCUGAGUAAGAAGCCCCGGCUAACUACGUGCCAGCAGCCGCGGUAAUACGUAGGGAGCAAGCGUUAUCCGGAAUUAUUGGGUGUAAAGGGUGCGUAGACGGGACAGCAAGUUAGUUGUGAAAGCCCGCGGCUUAACUGAGGAACUGCAACUAAAACUAUUGUUCUUGAGUGCAGGAGAGGAAAGCGGAAUUCCUAGUGUAGCGGUGAAAUGCGUAGAUAUUAGGAGGAACACCAGUGGCGAAGGCGGCUUACUGGACUGUGACUGACGUUGAGGCUCGAGAGCGUGGGGAGCAAACAGGAUUAGAUACCCCUGUAC
rnacentral:rRNA from 1 species